GAAGAAGCCGUUUUGGUAUCAAUCGCCGAUAUGAAACUGGAUUUGUUGUUCGUUAUCUGCUUGCUGGGCGCUUUGUCAGUGGGAUACGCCGGUGAAGAUAAAUACGUCAAGAUUUAUGUACCGUAUAAAGUGAAGACCAUAAAGCAUACCCAUACCGUGUACAAGACGAUACAUCACAAGGGACAUGAUUCCGGUGGGCAUGGUGGCGUAUCCGACUGGG